GAUAUUCUAUUACAAACGAAAUAUCUCGCCAUCAUUGUAAAUUUCUCUAUACUAUUUUCUCAGUCGUUUCACAAGCACGUCGUCGAAAUUGCGUAGUUGAAAAACUUGGCUCCGUGGGAAAUCUAUUAUUGAAAGCAAUCUGAAAAUUAUUAUAUUUGUAUAGCAAUAAUUGUUAUGCAUACUUGCAAAUAAAUUAAAUUAUGUAAUCUUUUAUUUUAUGCAAGCAAGGUUUCGUGGGAGUGAAGUCUGAGGAUGAUUCAAGAUUAUAUACGCAUCAAGUAAUAGGACGUAUUAGUUAUGUAAUCUAGGUUGAUUGAUACGGAAGAGUCAAGUCGUUGAAAGUAAAGCUAGUGAGUGACAUCAUCGGUCUUGGUAAUUGGCUUUUGUUAAGUCUUUGUUGCAGUAAUCGCAUUAAAAAUAUGCCACGAAUAGUUCCUCUGCAGCUCCUAAAGUGCCUGAAGGUGCUGCUGGAUGACAAUGGGGGCAUCCUAAGCAUAGGAGAAGUAAAACGGAUCGCAGGGUGAGUUACCAUAAAAUUGCUGAGUUUCGAAAAUUUUUCCUUUGAAUUAUCUGCAAUCAUGAACAUACGUACCAUGAACGAAAGACGCAAGAUCACGCGGGAAGGAAAAACGAAAAAAGUUAUUUUCUAGCUGCC